CCUACGGGUGGCAGCAGUGGGGAAUAUUGGACAAUGGGCGAAAGCCUGAUCCAGCCAUGCCGCGUGUGUGAAGAAGGCCUUCGGGUUGUAAAGCACUUUCAGUGGGGAAGAAAGCCUUGGGGCUAAUACCCUCGAGGAAGGACAUCACCCACAGAAGAAGCACCGGCUAACUCCGUGCCAGCAGCCGCGGUAAUACGGAGGGUGCGAGCGUUAAUCGGAAUUACUGGGCGUAAAGCGCGCGUAGGCGGUCUGAUAAGCCGGUUGUGAAAGCCCCGGGCUCAACCUGGGAACGGCAUCCGGAACUGUCAGGCUAGAGUGCAGGAGAGGAAGGUAGAAUUCCCGGUGUAGCGGUGAAAUGCGUAGAGAUCGGGAGGAAUACCAGUGGCGAAGGCGGCCUUCUGGACUGACACUGACACUGAGGUGCGAAAGCGUGGGUAGCAAACAGGAUUAGAUACCCCAGUAGUC
rnacentral:rRNA from 1 species